GGUUUGAGGAUUGAUUUUUGUCUCUCCUUACAUUUCCAGGCCUAUGUUUCUUCAUAUACCCUAAUGUAUGUUAUAGAAUGUAAUAAAAAGGCCUUUGUGCCUAUAAACCUAUACAACUUUCAGCAACGGAUCUCUUGGCUCUCGCAUCGAUGAAGAACGCAGCGAAAUGCGAUAAGUAAUGUGAAUUGCAGAAUUCAGUGAAUCAUCGAAUCUUUGAACGCACCUUGCGCUCCUUGGUAUUACCGAGGAGCAUGCCUGUUUGAGUGUCAUUAAUAUAAUCAACCUCUUCAGCUUUUGCUUGCCGAGUGUUGGAUGUGGGGGUAUUUUUGCUGGCCUCUCUGAGGUCAGCUCCCCUGAAAUGUAUUAGCGGAAUAAUUUGUGAACCGUUCAUUGGUGUGAUAACUAUCUACGCUAUUGACGUGAAGCAAUUCUGCUUCUAACAGUCCAUUGACUUGGACAAAUUUCAUUAAACAUGACCUCAAAUCAGGUAGGACUACCCGCUGAACUUAAGCAUAUCAAUAAGCGGAGGAAAAGAAACUAACAAGGAUUCCCCUAGUAACUGCGAGUGAAGCGGGAAAAGCUCAAAUUUAAAAUCUGGCAGUCUCUGGCUGUCCUGGACCGUGUACAAGUCUCCU
rnacentral:rRNA from 1 species